rnacentral:misc_RNA from 1 species
AGUCAUAACACCCUGACAAUGUUGAAUCCAGAAUUACUCAUCUCAAACGAGAGUUAUAUAAUGUCCCAAUACAACAAAGACAGAGCACUCUCAAAAUCCAAGUAAUCAAUCAUAAAACAAGAUUCACCCAUAUAUUUUUCAACUAUCUACAAUUGGAAGCUAUAAUUACCCACAUUUCAAUUUAUUUAAGAAUUAAGAUAGAGCGAAAAAUAAAACAAAAGAAUUCACGU